ensembl:snoRNA
GUCGAAGUCUAUUCCAGUGGGGCUUUUCCUGUAGCUGCAUGUCGCUGGAAACUCCUCAUAGACUAACUCUGUGGUUUUGCUUUACUCGCAGGACUAUUUGUUAGAUCUGCGGGAAGGAACUACAGGACAGUU